rnacentral:tRNA from 1 species
GAAGGUAUAGCUCAGUGGUAGAGCAUGCAUGAAGUCUUGAGUUCAAUCCCCAGUACUUCCU